UACGUAGGUGGCAAGCGUUAUCCGGAUUUACUGGGUGUAAAGGGCGCGCAGGCGGUUCCGAAAGUCAGAUGUGAAAGAUCAAGGCUUAACUUUGACAGGUCAUCUGAAACUUUGGGACUUGAGUAUCAGAGGGGAAAGUGGAAUUCCUGGUGGAGCGGUAAAAUGCGCAGAGAUCAGGAGGAACACCGGUGGCGAAGGCGACUUUCUGGCUGACAACUGACGCUGAGGCGCGAAAGCGUGGGGAGCAAACAGGAUUAGAUACUCCGGUA
rnacentral:rRNA from 1 species